rnacentral:rRNA from 1 species
GACGAACGCUGGCGGCAUGCCUAACACAUGCAAGUCGAACGAAACCUCCGGGUCUUUUGGCGCACGGCGGCGUAACGCGUGGGAACCUGCCCUUAGGUUCGGAAUAACUCCCCGAAAGGGGUGCUAAUGCCGGAUAAUGUCUUCGGACCAAAGAUUUAUCGAGUUUGGAUGGGCCCUCGUUGGAUUAGCUAGUUGGUAGGGUAAAAGCCUACGAAGGCCAGGAUACAUAGCUGGUCUGAGAGGAUGAUCAGCCAUACUGGGACUGAGACACGGCCAAGACUCGUAAGGGAGGCAGCAGUGGCGGAUAUUGGACAAGGGGGGAAAGACUGAUCCAGGAAUGUCGAGUGAGUGAUGAAGGCAUUAGCGUUGUAAAGCUCUUUUACACGGGAUGAGAAGGUAAGUACCGAGAGAAUAAGGGCCAACUAACUG